UCGAGAGUUCGCGAAAAUAGUCUGACUAGAUUUCGUGACAGCGUUUCAUCGGAGGCAUGAUGGGAGACUUCAUUUUCUUGAAUAUAAAUAUAUAUAUAUUUUAAUCUCGUCGGGAUUAUGCGAUCUCAGAAAUCCAGAAUGGUGCGUGAGUGCAUGCAAGGUCUGUACACUGGGGGAGGAGUGGAUUGUAUGUCACACUCACUCCCUCCCUCUCUCCCGCUUUCUCUAUCUCUUUUACUCCUACCACCCUGGAUUUGCUGCUUUUUUCCCUCCCACUCUCUCUCUCUCUCUCUCUCUCUCUCUCACUCUCUCCCUCCCUCUCAAGUGCAAGACCAUGUGGGGCGUAUGAUGAGAAAGAGGCUCACCCCACUGAGUCUCAUAUUUCAACAUUAGUCAGCUCUCUUUCUCUCUCUCUCUCUCUCUCUCUCUCUCUCUCUCUCUUACUCUUCCGUCCACUCUUUCUCUCUCUGGCUCUCUUUCCUAUGCUCCCUUCAUUUCCUCCUCUCACUUCUCUCUUUAAGACAUGGGGGAGAUUGCUGGAGCUAAGCUGAAAAAGCGUGGCAGGGAAGAAGGGAAAGGGAAGGAAAAAGGAGGCAGAAAAAAAAAAACCUUUCGGCUGCUUUUUCUGCUGCAAGGGCCUCCCCACCAGCGGGCCUAGCCAGAAAGGGAGGGCUUCUGCUCUCCUAAUAGGAUUUAACCCUCUGUCUACAGCCGCUGCACUGCAGCCGAACCAAACCCUGCCAACAAGUCACACUCUCCAGCGCAUUGCUUGAGGUUUCAUGCACCAGUUUUCGACACUGGAGAUUAUUUUUGUUUUGGUUUGAGUUCUUCGUUUUAAGCCUCGAGAUGAAUAUCAGUUGUAGCUUUUUUUUUUUUUUUUUUCUUUUUUUUUUGUGAGAGGGCUUUGGAACAUGGGAUCUCUUUGGACAUAGAGAUCUAUACAGUAGUUCUGACAGGGGUAGUGGUGUACGGGAGCUGUGUCUGGGACAGAUGCCAAUUGCUCACAAAAGACUGAACCAAAAGAGAAAAAAAUUCGGGCCACCGGACCAAAAGCAGAGCACAGAUUUUUUUUUUUUUUUUUCACUGUGAAAAUGUUACACAGACACGUGAGAGGGAGUGCGGAGGGGAACGUGGCUCCCCUUUCUGUGGCGGAUUCUUCAUGCACAAUCUCUCCCAGAACUAAAAUCCCUCUCUGGAACACAUGCUUGGAGGGAGUAGUGUACUUCCAGAAGCUGGUCGUGCUGAUGGUUCAGAAGCCCAAGAGGGAAGAGAGAAAGGCACAUCUGAGAAACGCCAAGAGGGGAGGGAAAGGAGGAAAGAAGAAAAACGGAAGGAGGAGGAGGGGAGGACCUUUUCCAGCCUGUUAAAUGUUCCCCAGGCCCAGCCAAGGCGAAGGCAGGCACUGCAUGCUGAUUUGCAUUCAGCGGACAUGCUAAUUGUGUGUUUUCUAACAUACUCCAUUCAUUCGGACGAGGCUCUAGUCUACAGACGGGCUUCAUACACGCCUCCCAGACACCCGCGUGGCCUCCUAUUGUUGCCGAGGCCGCUUUAACCGAGCCGAACAGCUCCAGGCCCGGGCCAAGGCACAAUGCAGAGCACGGGGGUAGCCUGGAUCUCUAGGCUGCUGUGGAGAGAGCACAGAACGGGGAAACACUUAGCUAGAGCUCCCUUCUCAGAUUCGGAGUUCCUCUAUCAUCUCUUUCUCCCUCCACAAUGAAGAAGAUAUUACGGGAGAAAAAAAAACCUUUCUGAGAAGGAAAAGAGGCCUGUAGGAAUUCGAACCCGAGUAUCCGAAACACUUUUAGAGGCUUGAGGGUUAGAUUUCUGUGUGUCUGAAGCUUGAUCCUGUCCUACAUCCACAAGGCUUUCUGCGCAGAUGGAGCCUAGAAAUGUUGAGGCACACUGGAAAGAUGCACCAAGAGACAAACUGGAACCCGUAACAGGAAGAUGAUUUGCUUGAUCCAGCUGCAGACUGCAAAUCUGACUUUUUUUCGUGUGAUGUGUGAAUGAAUGUUUAACUAGUUUCAGGAAGUGAAUGAGCAAUGUCCAGAUGUACGAGUUGCAGUGAUAUUUAUAUAUAUUUGCAUGUACUGUGUUGGACAAUGCUUUCACUGUACUGAUAAAAAACAAAUUGUAUAUACACUCUCAAUAAAUAGUAAUGUUCUGAUAAUUACUGUGCAGUCCAUGCUAAUAUAAAUGUCAUGAUGCUCACAUGAGAUUAAGAAGUUUUCUAAAGUAAAGACUAUCGAAUCACCCAGACUUCCUCCAGUUUGCCCCAUGGGCUGUUUCUGGUGUUCCUACAGGAUGAGGUAGUAGGUUGUGUGGUUUCUGGGUAGUUAUUUUGCCCCAUCAGGAGAUAACUAUACAACCUACUGCCUUCCCUGGAGGGCAGCAAUUCAACACCUAGCCACCAGUAGGGGGCAGCACUCCCCUUCAUUGUUUUAAUAGAUGUUGUGAUCUGUAUGCAUGGCACUUUAUAACAUGUUGUUGUUUAUGUACCAUAUGCAAGUCUGAAUGAAUUUUGUCUUUUUUGGUGUUUUCUUUAGUGUGUCAGAAUUAUCCUAUAAGGAAAAAAUCAAAAUAAAUGGACGGAGAAAUAUAACAAGUACAAACUGCUUCCAGAAAGGUGUACUGCAUGAUAAAAUUAAAGCCUUUAACAUGGUACCAUGUGCUGAGCAGACCCAGGUGACCUCAGUUUUGAAACAAGAUGGCAAGAGGAAAAGAGCUAAGCCACUUUGAAAGACUGUUCAUUUUUGUGGUGCACUGACAGCAGGAGCUUCAGUCGCAAAGUCUGCUCAGCUGGCUGUCUUUCAAUAGGACCAGUGACAUCAUAAAUCGGAUCUAUGAGAAAGACAGUAAACAGGGUUGAACAUUGAAAAUGAAAGCACACAUUCAAAACUUGUGAUGCUUGAGCAUUAUACGUAAAGGAAAAGCAGAAGAGCGACUGUUUUUCAGGUGGCUGACAAUGUCAAUGCAAUGAGAUCAGACUGUUAGCAAGAACCACAGCUACAUAGAGAGAGAUAUUAUAGAAGGGAUGCAGUGCACAAAUCCAUAGAUACAAAGAGGAAAAAUGAAUUUACGAGAUCGCUCGUGCAAAAGCCACAGGAAAAAAAUAUUUGUGAUAUGUCUGGUGUACACCAAGUGAACAUUACAGUCCUGACGAAUUGAGUAGGUCCAGAGGUUUUGUUGUAAGCUGUGGUAUUUUACAAGCAUGAUUUUCCUAAAGGUCCACUUAUCCCUUAAGAUGGAAGUCACUGCAAAUUAGUACAGUUAAAAAUUCCUUCCUGAUGCGAGUGCUCUCUUCCAGGAUGACGGUGCUCUCAGUGACAGGGCUGGAAGGGCUGAAUGGUUUGAUGAGUACAAAAAUCAUUAAAAGAAAAAGUCAUUGACCUCAAGUCAUUUGAACCUGGUGGAGGAUUUGGACUGACGUCUUAAAUACCACUAUCAUCAAAACCCCAGUUAAGGAACACCAGCCAUGUUCAUUCUGCUAACUGGUGGCUCGUAUUACACUUUACUACUUGGUGUUAAUCAGAUAAUGUGCUAUCAAGCCGACUAAGAUGAACCGUUGUACAUUAAGAAACAAUAUAUUUAUACAGAAGCAUAUAAUAGUCUAAGGAAUAUCAUCUUACUCAGGGGCUAGAUAUAGGUGCCCCUGAAGACUGGCAUGAGUUCAACAACACUGUAAGACAUGAUAGCCUGAAAUUAUUUCUUCCCAUUAACUAAUUGUUAUGAAAAUUUUUUUAUAAUAAACUCUAUACAUUUUUAAAAAUUGAAACCUAAAGUAAUUCAUUCUCUUGACUGCUUGAGUUGAAGCCAAGGUUAUCUUCAAGUUGAGUUUACUCACAGCAGGUGAAUGUUUGUCUUCAAUUUUAACCAUCUUGAAAUGUCCUCUAAUGUAGUUCUGCCUCAUGUAUACACACUGUUUAUAUAAUAUAAGAUAUUAAUAACAUGGUAUGUUAAUAAAGGUCUUAUAAGACUCAAGGUUUUAUCA